rnacentral:misc_RNA from 1 species
AUAUGGAAUGAUUAAGAAAAAUAUUUUUCAGGCUCUUCCCAGAAUGUGAAGAUGCUGAGAAUGAGAGUGGAAAAUGUCCAAAGGAAAUCUUAGUAACAGGUUUAUUUGAUUGAGAAUCCCAUUGCGAUAGCUGAGAAUCUAUUUGAGUUAAUAGUUGGUCAGUAGGAUGCUCAGAAAGAUUAGUUGGGCCCCGUAAACCAACAGGCAUCGUAGUGUCCAACCCAACAAAAAGAUGUUUGCGCUCACCAGUCUGGAAGACAGCAUAUCAAGGGACAAAGUUGAGAGAGAGAGUAAAUGAAGUUUUAUGCUUACCAUUGAGCGAAAGGACAAAACUGCAUUUCUACGCAUAGUUUCAUAAUAUUGAAGUUCAAUGAUGUGCAAAAAGUCAGUGUAGUGUUUGAAAGUUCAUUUGAUAGAAGGUUUCCCAAAGUGGAUAUAAAUGCCUGAUAGAAAUGAGAUCACUCAAUGACUUAAAUGAUGCUCUUAAUUCAUUCCAUUGGUUAGACAAACAUAACAAAGUGAAAAGCUAAAGAAAGAAAAAAAUAGUUGCACAAUGGUGACCUAAA